CUGUUAAGUGGUAGGUUCGAAACU
rnacentral:siRNA from 1 species